UACGAAGGGGGCUAGCGUUGUUCGGAAUUACUGGGCGUAAAGCGCACGUAGGCGGAUAUUUAAGUCAGGGGUGAAAUCCCAGAGCUCAACUCUGGAACUGCCUUUGAUACUGGGUAUCUUGAGUAUGGAAGAGGUGAGUGGAAUUCCGAGUGUAGAGGUGAAAUUCGUAGAUAUUCGGAGGAACACCAGUGGCGAAGGCGGCUCACUGGUCCAUUACUGACGCUGAGGCACGAAAGCCAGGGGAGCAAACGGG
rnacentral:rRNA from 1 species